rnacentral:rRNA from 1 species
CCCUUAGAUGUCCUGGGCCGCACGCGCGCUACACCGAACGGAUCAGCGCGUUUUCCCUUCCCGAGAGGGACGGGUAACCUGCUGAACCCCGUUCGUGGUAGGGAUCGGGGCUUGCAAUUAUUCCCCGUGAACCAGGAAUGCCCAGUAAGUGCAAGUCAUAAGCUUGCGUUGAUUACGUCCCUGCCCUUUGUACACACCGCCCGUCGCUACUACCGAUUGAACGUUUUAGUGAGGUACUCGGACUGAGCCUCAGAAGAUUCACGUCUUUUGUGCUGCUCGGGAAGAUUCCCAAACUUGAGCGUUUAGAGGAAGUAAAAGUCGUAACA